rnacentral:rRNA from 1 species
GCGGAAGGUACAUUGCACACACA